AUUCCAGCUCCAAUAGCGUAUACUAAUGUUGUUGCAGUUAAAAAGCUCGUAGUUGAAUUUCUGGAUUUAAUUUCUGGUCCGAGGCCUUGUGUCUUGUGUACUUUGAUUUUAUUAAAUCCAUCUUAGUAGUGAAUGUUACUGGCAUUGAGUUAUCGGUAGCAGGAACUGCUUCUUUUACUGUGAAUAAAAUAGAGUGUUCAAAGCAGGCAUUACGCCUUGAAUACUUCAGCAUGGAAUAAAAAAAUAGGGCUUUGGCGCUAUUUUAUUGGUUUGCACACCGAGUAAUGAUUAAUAGGGAUAGUUGGGGGUAUUCAUAUUUGAUUGUCAGAGGUGAAAUUCUUGGAUUUAUUAAAGACUAACUUAUGCGAAAGCAUUUGCCAAGGAUGUUUUCAUUA
rnacentral:rRNA from 1 species